AUUUAUCAAGAAUCAGUCGGUAGAACAUGAGACUCUUAAUCUCAAGGUCGUUGGUUCAAAACCCACGUUGUACG
rnacentral:tRNA from 1 species